CUGGGCAGAGCAAAAAUCAAUAAUUAGAAGAAGUGUGUUUUCCAUGAAAUUUUACACUCAAAUCAACAUUAUAACUGUAGUGAAAUUGGCAUCACAUUCUAAAUAAGGGACCGAGCUAUUCUUGUAGGAAAUAUAAACCUGGUAUGAAAAGUAAGUGCUUAUCAAUAACACUUCCAGGAAGCAAUUUUUACUCCGGGGCAAUUUGCUGUGCAUGCUGGGUCACUGCUGAGUGACAGGGGCUUAUGUUCCCAACACACCUGGCCUGGACUCUGCAUGGAGAAAAAGGUUUGUUCACUAGACUGAGAUUUCGAAGGGUAGAGUAUUUGUAGAGAGAAGCCAGGUCUCCAGUGUUGCUGGGUUUGGGGAAAGCCUGUAAUGGAUUCAGGUGUCCAGGUGAGAACAGCUUUCUGACAAAUGUGCUGCUGAGGGUGAUGUUCUCUCAGCACGUGGCCUGUGAGCUCUCAGUGAUGCUCCAGCCAGCAGGAGUACACCAAUAAGCCUGACUCUCUGCCAAUAGCUGGGGCCAGAGGUCUCGUCCUCAUUUUUCACUGGUACCUGGCAGGCAAAAUUCCUA
rnacentral:lncRNA from 1 species